UCCAGGUCCCCGCGGCGGCUGUAGGAGAGUGACAGCUGGACCUGCACGUGCUCGAGCGAGCGGAUGAGGCGGUGCGAGCCAUCGGAGCACGCGGACACGUUCUUCCUCACCAGCAUCCGAGGCAGGAUGGAGCUGGUAAGCCACACGCGAGCCAGGUCCACCAGCAGCCCUGCGUCCAGCAGCCCGUAGCCGUAGUGGUGGCUCACUGCGCGGGAGGGGUGGCCGUCACUCGCCCUGCAUGCACGGCACCCCGGUCCCCUCCCUGGCCCCGCCGCACCUUGGCGCCCCACGCCGUUGAUCCUCCAGUCCUCCGCCUGCAGCUGCGCCGGCCUGGACGCGCGGACCACCAGGUGCUGUAGGUCCCUCCAGAGCCAGAGCGAUUAUGCCAGCGGCCAGCGGGGCGGAGGCCGAGGUGCCCGUGUGUUUGUCGGUACACUGGUGGUGCAGAUCCGUGGUGACCUGGUGACAGACAGCAGAGGGAUCUUGAGCCCAGUGCGCGGCCCAGAUGGAGGAUUUGUUUGGAAGGUACUGGGGACUAAGUUCACAAAGUGCUGAAGAUUGAGCUAAGUAUGAAGACACCAAGGACUAAGCUCAAAGGGUACUAAAAGCCCCAACCAGGCCCGGUAAUGCAGGCGCUCAAACCCAGCACUUGUGGAGCUGUGGCAGGCGUAGCUGGGACUUCUAGGCUAGCCUGGUUUAUGUAUGGUGAAUACGAAUGACUAAGUUUAACAAGUACUGAGGACUGAGCUCAACAAUUACUAAGGGCCGAGGUUUAAAACUGCUAAGGACUAGUUUCCAAAACCACCGAGCACUGAGUUCAUAAUGAUACAUGGCCCUACAUCUAAAAACAAAAAACAAAAAACAAAAACAAAAAAAAAAAAAAAAAAACGAAAACCAGCCCGGCAGUGGUGGCGGCGCACUCCUUUAAUCCCAGCCCUUGGGAGGCAAGAACAGUCAACUCUCUGAGUUCGGGACCAGCCUGCUCUACAGAGCAAGUUCCAAGACCGCCAGGGCGGUUACACAGAGAAAUCCUGACUCGAAAACACCAAGAAAAGAAAAAGUGCCAAAUUCUGAGACUUUAGCCUGGGGGACAGAGGCGCGAAGGCAGGAAGCACAACUGCAGACACCAGGUGGGUAGGGGGCAGAGGCCCCGUGUGUGACGUGUGGCGGGCGAGACCAGGGAGUCGACUCCAGCAGAGGCAUUGGCGCGGAUCUUGCCCAGGGAGGCAGAGGAGUUGCUAAGUGGGCCGACAUGGUU